UUGACUUGGUAACGCAGCUAACGCGUGAAGUAGACCGCCUGGGGAGUACGGUCGCAAGAUUAAAACUCAAAGGAAUUGACGGGGACCCGCACAAGCGGUGGAUGAUGUGGAUUAAUUCGAUGCAACGCGAAAAACCUUACCUACCCUUGACAUGGACGAAAUCCCGGAGAGAUUUGGGAGUGCUCGAAAGAGAAUCGUUACACAGGUGCUGCAUGGCUGUCGUCAGCUCGUGUCGUGAGAUGUUGGGUUAAGUCCCGCAACGAGCGCAACCCUUGUCAUUAGUUGCUACGAAAGGGCACUCUAAUGAGACUGCCGGUGACAAACCGGAGGAAGGUGGGGAUGACGUCAAGUCCUCAUGGCCCUUAUGGGUAGGGCUUCACACGUCAUACAAUGGUACAUACAGAGCGCCGCCAACCCGCGAGGGGGAGCUAAUCGCAGAAAGUGUAUCGUAGUCCGGAUUGUAGUCUGCAACUCGACUGCAUGAAGUUGGAAUCGCUAGUAAUCGCGGAUCAGCAUGUCGCGGUGAAUACGUUCCCGGGUCUUGUACACACCGCCCGUCACACCAUGGGAGCGGGUUUUACCAGAAGUAGGUAGCUUAACCGUAAGGAGGGCGCUUACCACGGUAGGAUUCGUGACUGGGGUGAAGUCGUAACAAGGUAGCCGUAUCGGAAGGUGC
rnacentral:rRNA from 1 species